UCCGGUUUGUCACCGGCGGUCUCCUUAGAGUUCCCAACUUAAUGAUGGCAACUAAGGACAAGGGUUGCGCUCGUUGCGGGACUUAACCCAACGUCUCACGACACGAGCUGACGACAGCCAUGCAGCACCUGUCUCAUGGUUCCCGAAGGCACUUCUACAUCUCUGCAGAAUUCCAUGGAUGUCAAGGCCAGGUAAGGUUCUUCGCGUUGCAUCGAAUUAAGCCGCAUGCUCCGCCGCUUGUGCGGGCCCCCGUCAAUUCCUUUGAGUUUUAGCCUUGCGGCCGUACUCCCCAGGCGGGGUGCUUAAUGCGUUAGCUUCGGCACGGAUGGGGUCGAUGUCCACCCACACCUAGCAUCCACCGUUUAGGGCGUGGACUAC
rnacentral:misc_RNA from 1 species